rnacentral:rRNA from 1 species
UACGUAGGGGGCAAGCGUUAUCCGGAUUUACUGGGUGUAAAGGGAGCGUAGGCGGUUCAGCAAGUCAGAAGUGAAAGCCCGGGGCUCAACUCCGGGACUGCUUUUGAAACUGUUGAACUAGAUUGCAGGAGAGGUAAGUGGAAUUCCUAGUGUAGCGGUGAAAUGCGUAGAUAUUAGGAGGAACACCAGUGGCGAAGGCGGCUCACUGGACUGUAAAUGACGCUGAGGCUCGAAAGCGUGGGGAGCAAACAGG